rnacentral:rRNA from 1 species
GACAGAGGAUGCAAGCGUUAUCCGGAAUGAUUGGGCGUAAAGCGUCUGUAGGUGGCUUUUCAAGUCCGCCGUCAAAUCCCAGGGCUCAACCCUGGACAGGCGGUGGAAACUACCAAGCUGGAGUACGGUAGGGGCAGAGGGCUCGUAGAGCCGGUGGAGCGGUGAAAUGCGUAGAGAUCGGAAAGAACACCAAUGGCGAAAGCGGCUACCUGGCCCAUUCUUGACGCUGAGGCGCGAAAGCUAGGGGAGCAAACGGG